CGAAUAAAGAUUUUAAUUACCGGAAAUGAUGAAUGGAGAAAUUUAUUCCUGUCGAGUUAGACAGCGUGUGGAACCAGACACCUUGGGUGGGCUGUCGAUCCAUUCUGAUCCGUAGAAAAAAAAAAAAAAAAGCAUGUCUUUGGAACAUGGGAGGAAACCGGAGCACCCGGAAUAAGCCCACGCAGACACAAGGAGGACAUGCAAACGCUAGACAGAGUGCUACUCAUUAGGGUAGUCAAACUUAACAUUUAGCAAUAUACUGUAACGCCACAUCCAAACCCACGGCGCUGCGCGCCACAAUGGUGUCAGAAGUGGGAUGGGGCAGGACGUCAAAAGGCUGGAUUCGUGAGCGACUGAACACUGAGCAAGAAGAAGGGGAAAACGGCGCGACACCGGAAGCCAGCGGAACGGAACAACGGCGUCCGGCGGGAGAAGCGCCUGCGACGGUGCAGGUCCAGGCGGAGCCUGAGGAGCUGUGGCGGAGCACGGGGAAGCGAGCGCUGUGAUGAAGACGCCGGCGGAGAAGAGCUGCGAGGUGCCGCUGAAGACGUCUUAGACGGGCGAGCAGGUUGAGUGGGGUCUCCUUGCGCCCACGGUAGGAGCGGCAGGAAGAGGCAGCGAACCGCCGUCAAGUGCUGGGACUCAGGGAAGUCGCCCCGCCGUGAGCGCCGCAUUCCCGGGCAGGUCGGACGACGUGCUGGACAACGCGGAGGACCGCACCUCGUCUGUGGACAGGCACGGCUCCGUAACGGAGUUGCGUUCGGCGACCCGGUGAUUAAGAAGAACUGUUCGGAGUUGAGGAAGGGAGAGCGGUACCACAUCGCGACUGCGGAGAUACUGGGGUGGAGUCCGGAUUCCUGCGAUCAGGAGUGGAGCCUGCAGAACCACACUGUCAUGGGCUACAUUGAGAAGAACAACACAGUUUUGAGCCCCCCCAUGGUGUCACUGACAAAGCAGGAGGCGGAGCUGGAAUCAUGUGUGAAUUUCACUGUCACCCUGAACUGCGUCCAGGUGGUCUCGCUAACAUUUUUAGGUAAGACCCAACACUUUAACACUACCUUUCAUGAUGCGUAGCAAACUGUAGCUCCCUUAUUUCCAGUACACCCGUCGCUAGUAUACAGACAGUCUGUGAGGACAUUCUCUUCUAGAGACUUCAAGAAUUUGCACCAUUCAUCCCACUAAAACAACUCGGUUAUGAGGACUUUUCUGUCCAUAAAUGCUUCAAAUCCAGGGUGAAAUAUAAUCCUGAGUUUCCUUCAUUGAAUCCCCUCCUCUGCUGUAGGGCCAUGUAUCCUGUUGUGAGCAGAGCAAAUUUCCAUUCUCAUGGGGGAAAAAAUGUUAUGAUUAUGAUGUUAAAAAAAUGUUAUAUGUGAUACACUAAAGUUCACGUGAUCACUGUUUUUUACUCUGCAAAGUGUGCUGACACUAUGCUGUCAGAGGUGCAGUGUACAUUGUCUGAAACCGCUUGUCCCAUAUGAGGUCGCGGGGAGCCGGAGCAACAUAGGGUAUAAGGCUGGAGGGGGAGGGGACACACCCAGGACGGGACGCCAGUACGUCACAAGGCACCCCAAGCGGGACUCGAACCCCAGACCCACCGGAGAGCAGGACCUGGUCCAACCCACUACGCCACAGCGCCCCCCUUAGGUGCAGUGUAGCGUUUGUUAAAAAAAAAAAGAAAGAAAGAAAAAAAA
ensembl:lncRNA